GGAUCCUUCUGAUGGCAGCUUGGAUGGCGGCAAAGAGACUCACAGUGACCGUAUAACCUGGCACAGACAAUCUCAGCAACAACUCUCACGGUAAAGGUAAACUUAACGGAUAAAGAAACUGAAGCAGGAUUAGGGCUUACCAACAGAGGAUUCAGAGAGGCGGCGGUUUUCGGCAGCAGAGGCGGCGGUGGGGCAGCCGCAGCUCCGGUGACGCUCCGACGUGGUGCUUACAUCGAAAGCAGAGGCAACCACCAGCCACGGCGCCAACUAGGAACGGCCUUGCGUGGCGGUGCACAGUCCGACGAUGGCUCGGCAGUGGCGAGGAGUGGUGACGGCAUGAACGGCGAUGAAGGUGGCUGGCUUCAACGACGACGAUUUCCCUCAGCGGCGGUUCAGACGAGGACGGCGCCAGAGAUCUCCCUCUCACACGUUGUCUCUCUUCUCAGCGACAGAAUAGCUCCCUCACUCUUGCUUUCUCUCCUUCCUCGACGGCGGUUCGGGGACAAAUCGGUGGCAAGCUAGAUGCGGCGAGAUGGUGACGCAGCGGGACACGAGCGGCGGUGGCGGGACCCAGUGGCGCCGGCGCAACCUUCCUCUUCUCUUCUUCCCCCUCGUUUCUCUCUUUCUCUCUGCCAUCCCUUUUCCCUCUCUUUUUCUUUCCUUUACUGCUGCUGCUUUGUCUUAGGUUAGGUUAAGAAGGAAGAAAGGGUAAAUGGCGG
rnacentral:lncRNA from 1 species